GGUUAAUAUUCCUGUACUUGGUGUUACUGCGAAGGGGGGACGGAGAAGGCUAUGUUAGCCGGGCGACGGUUGUCCCGGUUUAAGCAUGUAGGCUGGUUAUCCAGGCAAAUCCGGAUAAUCAAGGCUGAGGUGUGAUGACGAGGCACUACGGUGCUGAAGUAACAAAUGCCCUGCUUCCAGGAAAAGCCUCUAAGCAUCAGGUAACAUCAAAUCGUACCCCAAACCGACACAGGUGGUCAGGUAGAGAAUACCAAGGCGCUUGAGAGAACUCGGGUGAAGGAACUAGGCAAAAUGGUGCCGUAACUUCGGGAGAAGGCACGCUGGUGUGUAGGUGAAGUCCCUGCGGAUGGAGCUGAGACCAGUCGAAGAUACCAGCUGGCUGCAACUGUUUAUUAAAAACACAGCACUGUGCAAACACGAAAGUGGACGUAUACGGUGUGACGCCUGCCCGGUGCCGGAAGGUUAAUUGAUGGGGUUAUCCGUAAGGAGAAGCUCUUGAUCGAAGCCCCGGUAAACGGCGGCCGUAACUAUAACGGUCCUAAGGUAGCGAAAUUCCUUGUCGGGUAAGUUCCGACCUGCACGAAUGGCGUAAUGAUGGCCAGGCUGUCUCCACCCGAGACUCAGUGAAAUUGAACUCGCUGUGAAGAUGCAGUGUACCCGCGGCAAGACGGAAAGACCCCGUGAACCUUUACUAUAGCUUGACACUGAACAUUGAGCCUUGAUGUGUAGGAUAGGUGGGAGGCUUUGAAGCGUGGACGCCAGUCUGCGUGGAGCCAACCUUGAAAUACCACCCUUUAAUGUUUGAUGUUCUAACGUUGGCCCCUGACCGGGGUUGCGGACAGUGUCUGGUGGGUAGUUUGACUGGGGCGGUCUCCUCCCAAAGCGUAACGGAGGAGCACGAAGGUUAGCUAAUCCUGGUCGGACAUCAGGAGGUUAGUGCAAUGGCAUAAGCUAGCUUGACUGCGAGCGUGACGGCGCGAGCAGGUGCGAAAGCAGGUCAUAGUGAUCCGGUGGUUCUGAAUGGAAGGGCCAUCGCUCAACGGAUAAAAGGUACUCCGGGGAUAACAGGCUGAUACCGCCCAAGAGUUCAUAUCGACGGCGGUGUUUGGCACCUCGAUGUCGGCUCAUCACAUCCUGGGGCUGAAGUAGGUCCCAAGGGUAUGGCUGUUCGCCAUUUAAAGUGGUACGCGAGCUGGGUUUAGAACGUCGUGAGACAGUUCGGUCCCUAUCUGCCGUGGGCGCUGGAGAAUUGAGGGGGGCUGCUCCUAGUACGAGAGGACCGGAGUGGACGCAUCACUGGUGUUCGGGUUGUCAUGCCAAUGGCACUGCCCGGUAGCUAAAUGCGGAAGAGAUAAGUGCUGAAAGCAUCUAAGCACGAAACUUGCCCCGAGAUGAGUUCUCCCUGAGACUAUAAGUCUCCUGAAGGAACGUUAAAGACGAUGACGUUGAUAGGCCGGGUGUGUAAGCGCAGCGAUGCGUUGAGCUAACCGGUACUAAUGAACCGUGAGGCUUAACCUU
rnacentral:rRNA from 1 species